UUUUGUGGGCGGGGACCCUCCCUCUUCCCUUCUCCCUCCUCCCUCCUCCAGUCUCCUUGGGAGAGGUUUAACCGUGUGAGGACUGGAGUUCUCCCUGCCGCCUCGACUCCUUGUCAGCUGGGCCGGCGCGGGCGCCACGCCUGGGGUCAGGCACGAAGCUCGGAAAAUCCUCCAUGACCGAGAUGAGGAAAAGCUGGUGUUGCCGGGAAGGGGCCCUUCGCCAGUCGCUUUUGUCGGUGCCGGCACAACUUGACCUGCGUUUCGCCCUUCCAUUUACCUCCACGAGACGAAGGAGAUCUGCCCUUGGUUAGAAAGUAAAAUCAAAGGAGCACCCAGGAAAGUUAACCAACUGAGAAGGCCAAGGAACCUCUGGACUUGUCUGAGUGGCUUGAGUGAUGUUGUGCUGUUCCUUCACAUCAUACUCUUCACUGGUAAGCAGCACUGAGUCACUUUUGACUUUGUUUUUCAAAUCAUUU